UCCCCGGUAGCUCAGUCGGUAGAGCAAUUGGCUGUUAACCAAUGGGUCGGCGGUUCGAGUCCGUCCCGGGGAGCCA
rnacentral:tRNA from 1 species